rnacentral:tRNA from 1 species
GGAGGAUUAGCUCAGCUGCUGGGAGAGCACCUGCCUUACAAGCAGGGGGUCGGCGGUUCGAUCCCGUCAUCCUCCACCA